rnacentral:rRNA from 1 species
GACGAACGCUGGCGGCGUGCCUAAUACAUGCAAGUUGAACGCCGUUGCGAACGGGUGAGUAACGCGUAGGUAACCGCCUCAUAGCGGGGGAUAACUAUUGGAAACGAUAGCUAAUACCGCAUACUGUGAGAUGGACCUGCGUUGUAUUAGCUAGUUGGUGAGGUAAAGGCUCACCAAGGCGACGAUACAUAGCCGACCUGAGAGGGUGGUCGGCAACCCUGGGACGGAGACACGGCCCAGACUCCUACGGGAGGCAGCAGUAGGGCAUCUUCGGGAAUGGACGAAAGUCUGAGCGAGCAACGCGGCGUGAACGAGGAGGGUCUUCGGAACCUAAAGCUGUGUUGUUGAGGAAGCGGUAACUAAACAGAGAGGGACGGCUAACUCCGUGCCAGCAGCCGCGGUAAUAC